GAGGAAAAGAAACUAACCAGGAUUCCCCCAGUAACGGCGAGUGAAGCGGGAAGAGCUCACGAUGUGAAUCCGGCCCCUUCGGGGCCCGAAUUGUAGUCUGGAGAGGCGAGGCCAGCCGCGGCGGGAGACGAAGUCUCUUGGAAAAGGGCAUCAGGGAGGGUGAUAAUCCCGUUCUUGUCCCCCGCUCAGCGCGCGUACGGCCCGUUUUCUACGAGUCGAGUUGCUUGGGAUUGCAGCUCAAAGCGGGUGGUAAAUUCCAUCUAAAGCUAAACACGGGAGGGAGACCGAUAGCGAACAAGUACCGUGAGGGAAAGAUGCAAAGAACUUUGAAAAGAGAGUUAAAGAGUGCCUGAAAUUGCUGAAAGGGAAGCGAAGGAAACCAGUGUCUGGCGUCUACGCUUCUCCCCGUGCCCCUCGGGGCCGGGGUCCGCGUGUUCGCCGUGGCCAGGGCAGGGUUCGAGCGCGAGAUACUCCGCGUCGGGAGGUAGCGUCUCUUCGGAGCGUGAAUACCGUCGCGCGACGUCGCGCCCGGGGCCUGCGCUGACGAAAUGGUUUUCUUCACCCCGUCUUGAAACAC
rnacentral:rRNA from 1 species